rnacentral:sRNA from 1 species
AUGGAGAUCAUGGUCCCCAAAGGGAGUCAAGGGGAGAAGAUGAACAGGGCCCUGGCCCCCCUCUUGAGAUCUGUCACUGGCCUGCUCCUGGAGGGAAUGCCAUCUGCCCAGUUCUCUGCUUCCCCCACACCCCUUCCUGGGUUAUGCCCUUGAGUAAUCUCAUUCUUCUCUUCCCUGCUCAGCUUCAAGCCCUCCUGCCCUUGUUUCCCCUGGGUCUUUCUCUGGCCUGGUCUACAAGAAUGUCACUGUGCCUGUCUACACAGCACUGAAGGGGAGAGCCACACAGAUCAGCAACAUGCCCUUUAUGGACGAGUCCUCUGGGUCUGACGAUGACUGCAGCUCUCAGGCGAGUUUCCAAAUCUCGGUCCCCUCCUCUGAGUCCAGGAAGACCAGCGGACUAGGCAGCCCCCGGGCCAUCAAGAGAGGCGUCUCCAUGUCCUCACUGAGCUCCGAGGGUGACUACGCCAUCCCCCCGGACGCCUGCUCACUGGACAGUGACUACUCAGAGCCAGAGCACAAACUGCAGCGCACCUCAUCCUACUCCACCGACGGGCUGGGCCUGGGCGGGGAGUCACUGGAGAAGUCGGGCUACCUG